rnacentral:lncRNA from 1 species
AUGGGAAUAACCAUCGCGCUUAAUCUCAUCAUGCUCUCAGAGAGAGAAGAACAGAGCUAUCGAACAAACAAACAAAAAAGCCCAGAUGAAGUGAAAAGGAGGCAAGGGAUGGCGGAGGAUAAUAAGAGGAAAGAGGUAAUUUUUCCAACAUUGGACACAGUUGGAGGCAGGAGUCUUACAAAAGAGGUAUUCCUUCUUGGGAAGAAGAGAGGUCCAGGCCCAUCAAUCCAUCCAAUAGUUGGAGCUCUCAUCCUCAAAAAUAGGGGUUUCUGGAAACCAGAUUCCUACUUUUGGCAAGCUUUAUUUCAAACAACAUCAGGAUGUGAGGCUUCCAUCUCAUCCCAGACACUGCUUACUUGCCGUGGCCGAUGGGCCUAUUCAACUGCAAACCUCCAACAUCUGUCCUGUACUUUGGCCAGCAAGAUAUGAGCAAGCUGUUGCUGACAAUACUAUAAUAAGAGGCAAUACCCUGUAAAUGAAACAAAGGAGUACAGACCUGACUAUUUUCAGUUUUGAAUCAAUUAAAAGGAAGCUUUAAUUAGACUGUAUGUAAGUAAUCUACAUUUAAAAA